AUUGAACGCUGGCGGCAGGCCUAACACAUGCAAGUCGAACGAGUGGCGGACGGGUGAGUAAUGUCUGGGAAACUGCCCGAUGGAGGGGGAUACCUACUGGAAACGGUAGCUAAUACCGCCUACCAUCGGAUGUGCCCAGCUGGGAUUAGCUAGUAGGUGGGGUAACGGAUCACCUAGGCGCCGAUCACUAGCUGGUCUGAGUGGAUGACCAGCCACACUGGAACUGAGACACGGUCCAGACUCCUACGGGAGGCAGCAGUGGGGAAUAUGGCACAAUGGGCGCAAGCCUGAUGCAGCCAUGCCGCGUGUAUGAAGAAGGCCUUCGGGUUGGAAAGCAAUUUCAGCGGGGAGGCGUUACUCGCAGAAGAAGCACCGGCUAACUCCGUGCCAGCAGCCGCGGUAAUAC
rnacentral:rRNA from 1 species